GACAGAGGGUGCAAACGUUGCUCGGAAUUACUGGGCGUAAAGCGCGUGUAGGCGGACCAGCAAGUCGGACGUGAAAUCCCUGAGCUCAACUCAGGAACUGCAUCCGAAACUGCUGGUCUGGAGUGGUGGAGAGGGAAGCAGAAUUCCUGGUGUAGAGGUGAAAUUCGUAGAUAUCAGGAGGAACACCGGUGGCGAAGGCGGCUUCCUGGACACAUACUGACGCUGAGACGCGAAAGCGUGGGGAGCAAACAGG
rnacentral:rRNA from 1 species